rnacentral:rRNA from 1 species
UACAGGGGGCGCGAGCGUUGCUCGGAAUCACUGGGCGUAAAGCGUACGCAGGCGGACCGUUAAGUCGGAUGUGAAAUCCCAGGGCUCAACCCUGGAAGUGCAUUCGAUACUGGCGGUCUUGAGUACGGGAGAGGAGAGCGGAAUUCCUGGUGUAGAGGUGAAAUUCGUAGAUAUCAGGAGGAACACCGGUGGCGAAAGCGGCUCUCUGGCCCGAUACUGACGCUCAUGUACGAAAGCGUGGGGAGCAAACAGG